UUCUAGGUAUUCUGGAGCUUUCAGUCUUCUGUAACACCAGGAAAUAUUCUGUAGAUUUGGUUUCAAAUGAAAUCUGAGCUUGCUCUGUCAUUGAGGGCAAAAGGCAGCYCCCUGGGAACACCAAGAUACCAUUGGAUUUGUGGGAAUCAUGGCUUGCUACGCCUGGCACAAGAGCAGCAGAGACUGGGGGCUUUAAGUCCAGCACCCACAGUAGCUACAAAUCUGCAGGUUUUAAGGGAAGUAGCACCAGAAGAAAGAAGUAGCUAAAAAAGGUUUCUGUUCCUGGGACACAUGUAUUCAAACUGCUGCUUGCAAGAAGGGUAUCUUCUUCAAGAAGGAUAUCACUAUCUUCUUCAAAAAGACUUUGAAGCAGAAAGACACCUUAUGUUCAGCCCCUCCAUUAAUGCUCUGGUUAAACAGGGAAAAAGAACAAGGAGAGGAGGAUAAAGGAGCACAGCCAAACUUUGUGAGAUUACUCAAGUGGUGUGAGAAGCUGUUCAAACAAAUUACUUAUUGAGGCUGAUAUAACAUGGCAGAUCUGUUAAGAAAAUUAUUGUUGUACAAAUAGAUUGUAUGAAAGGAUAAUGCUUUUGAAAAUACUUUUUUAGCAAGGCUUUGAAGCUCACAAACUGUUAGAGCACAACUGCAUGCUGGAAAUAGGAAAAGCAAACUGCUGACUGCCUGGAGUACUGAAGGUUGCACUGGAACUCACUGGAAAGUUUUUUAAUUUAUUUACUAGUAGGAACAAAGCAAUGGACAGAGUUCUGUUCAGCUUUCAACUGGGGAGGGAUAUUUUAUUUUUGAUGGACUCAGGGAAGGUAUCAUUUCUGUCACUAAAUCUCCAGUUUAAAUAUUUGGACUUGCUCCUUCUGCCUUUUCUCCAUGCUCCCAAGAGGACUGCAACCACCUUUCUCUGUUUCUAUGCUCUUGCUUGCCUUCACCCAUUAACAGGCACUUCUUACACAGCUCAGGAAGCACCAUGCUGUAUUACUCAAGGAAUACAGCCUUUCACAGCUGGUUCCUGAAUAGCAACCUGAAAACAAAUGAUAAAAAAAAAAAAAAAAAAAAAAAAAAAAAAAAAAAAAAAAAAAAAAAAAGGAAGAGGAGAAACAGCCUAGAAAAAAAAUUGCAGCAAAAAAGAAAAGAGCAGCUGUUGCCUUAAGAGUAUUUUUCUUCCCCAUAAGUGUAAUCAGAGCUGCAACUCUGUGUUCCCUGGCCGUCUCCAGACACCGGUAACUAAAGCCGGGCAUACAACCCUGCCAUUGGCUCUGCCAGGGGUGGCAGAGGACUAAGCAAGGGUCAAAAGUUUAUGAGAGGCUGUGGCUGUGCUGACACGUGGAGGGGAGCAUGUUUCCACAGCACACACGGCACUACAUGCGUUUGAAAGGUCACUGCAGCGGCAGGCUGAGCGCCAGCCCGGUGGGAAAGAUGCUGAGUGGGAGCAGCGCUGGAAGGSGAGAGCGGAAAAGUGGCGUGCAGGGAGACCAGAUGGGACUGCUGUGGGAAAGGAGCUGUGGGAGAGGGGAAGACAGGGAGGUGGAACAUGGAGAGCAGAGGCAAUAAUGGCAGAGGAGCAUCACAGGCUGGGCUGACAACAGACUGGUCUCACACUGGCAGAUGUCGCACCUGGCAGGGCUGAGCAGGAGACUCGGUUGUUCCCCCAAGACUGGGAAAAGAGGCGGCUGCAGCUUGAUAUUGGAUGGACUGAAUCCCAGUAUCUCACAUAGACAAGCAUCUGCCAAACCCUUCUUCCUCAUUUAAUUGCAGCCCUCCACAAAUGGGCCUAAUCCUACAAACAGUGACUGCAUUGGAAAGGAGCGGUCUUUUAGGUACUGGAAGAUCCUAUAAGGUGUCCCUACACCCUUCUCUUUUCCAGGCUGAACAACCCCAACUCUCAGCUGUCUCCAGAGGAGAGGUGCUGGAGCCCUCUGAUCACCUCUGUGGUCCUCCUCUGGACUUACUCCAGCAGGACCAAACUUUCCUGUGUUGGGAUUUCCAAAGCUGGACAGCACUCUACUCAGGGUCUCCUGGAGAAAAUGCAGGAGGACAUCAGAUGGAGGACAUCACCUUCCCUGACYUGCUGGCCACGCUGCUUUUGAGGGAGUGMAGGAUGUGGUUGGCUUUCUGCUCUAGAGCAAGGAUCAGAACCCACAACUGUUUCACAAGUUGACUGCCACAACUAAACCUGGGAUGUGAAUUUCCAUGGCCUGACUUAUACCUCCCGGAUCUCUAAGACAGGACAACAUUUUAAUGCURGUGGGGCACAUCAAACCCCACUCUAAAAUUGCUGGACAUGCAUGUGGUCAAAAUACAAGACUAGGAAGCAGAAGUGCUGUUAUUCUCCUCAGUUUCUCUCCUUUCAGAGUAACUUGCAAAAGCAGCCUGCCUUGAAGAUCUUUUACGAAGAUUCAACACUUCCUUUUCAUAAAGCAAUUUGAAAUCCUGUGCUCACAGAUACUAAUAAGCCCUCAUAUAUGAUAAUAUACUUGAUUUUAAACUCAUAAAUUCUCUAAUUUAUGCCUUUUCAGAACUCACAGCAACAUGAUUCAUUAGAAUAGUUAACA